AGAGUUUGAUCCUGGCUCAGAACGAACGCUGGCGGCGUGGAUUAGGCAUGCAAGUCGAACGGGACAUUAUUUGUAGCAAUACAGGUGAUGUCUAGUGGCGGAAGGGUGAGUAACGCGCGGGUAAUCUGCCCUUAAGUUGGGGAUAACACUCCGAAAGGAGUGCUAAUACCGAAUGUGGUCGCUUCAGACAUCUGAAGCUAUCCAAAGCCGGGGACCGUAAGGCCUGGCGCUUGAGGAUGAACCCACGUACUAUCAGCUAGUUGGUGAGGUAACGGCUCACCAAGGCUAAGACGGUUAGCUGGUCUGAGAGGAUGGUCAGCCACACUGGGACUGAGACACUGCCCAGACUCCUACGGGAGGCUGCAGUCGAGGAUCAUUCGCAAUGGGCGCAAGCCUGACGGUGCGACGCCGCGUGCAGGAUGAAGGCCUUCGGGUUGUAAACUGCUGUCAUGAGGGAGCAACGACUCUAGCUCUAAUACCGCUAGGGAGUGAUAGUACCUCAGGAGGAAGCCACGGCUAACUCUGUGCCAGCAGCCGCGGUAAUACAGAGGCGGCAAGCGUUGUUCGGAUUUACUGGGCGUAAAGGGUGCGUAGGCGGUUCCGUGUGUCGGAUGUGAAAGCCCACAGCUCAACUGUGGAACUGCAUUCGAAACUACGGUGCUAGAGUACGGGAGAGGAGAGCGGAAUUCUGGGUGUAGCAGUGAAAUGCGUAGAUAUCCAGAAGAACACCGGUGGCGAAGGCGGCUCUCUGGACCGAUACUGACGCUGAGGCACGAAAGCUGGGGGAGCAAACAGGAUUAGAUACCCUGGUAGUCC
rnacentral:rRNA from 1 species